ACACUUAGCAUCAAGGCCUCAGACUAACUGCAACACUUUGGUGCACAGAAGCUACAGCUGAGCACGGCCACACCUUGCAUUUAAGCUGCUGUUUGACCUCGGAGCACAUUCAGUUCCAUUGCUGUUUGACCUCGGAGCACAUUCAGUUCCAUCACUGUUCCUGACGCUUGUUCACCCACUGGGUCUUCUCAGCCCCCUGCACAGAGCUCAGGGGCAACCACUCAACCAGACCCUCCCUCUGGAGGAACCACGUGCCUGUUGUCUGUGCUCCAUUCUUGAUUUUGCUGGGAAACUUAGGUCACGCCCAGAGGUUGUGGCACCCUUCCCCCCGCCGCCAAUGACUCAUAUGGCACUUGCUCUGAGCUAUCUUGCAGGUGAAGAGGACCCCGGAAGUCAAGUUUUUGAUUUGGAAGGAUGGGGUAUUCUUAAUUAAUGGCCCUACAUUUUCACGGGACUCAUCAUCUGAAAAAGAAAGUUGUCAGUUCUGCCAGGAUGAGGACCAUGUGUUUUGUGUUUGGACUCCAUUCCAGCUCAGAGUUGGACACAUCUUUGGUGCUCAAGAAGAUACUGAACUAUGCAGUGGACAUGUGUGGGUGCUCCUGGUUUUUAUAAACAAUGACUAUUGGAAUUUUUAAAUUACUUUCUGACGAUAAGUUCUUGGAAGUAGGAUUACUAGGUCAAAGGAUAUAAACAUCUUUGAGGCCUCUUGAGAAAAUACAGAUUGCUUUCCAGAAAAUUUUAUACUCCUACUAGCAGUGAAUGAGAUUUCCUGUUUCAUUGUCCUCUUAUCAGCACUAUUAGGAAAAGGCAUUAUUUUUUGCUAACUUGGUAGUAAGAAAGGUUCCCUUCUCCUCUUUGAAUUUUGCCUUUGUUAAGUAGGGAGAUGGACAUUUUUUCAUCUAUUUUUUUAGUUCAUUUAUAUUUGCUCUGAGUUGUCUGGUGUCCUUUGCCCACUUUUAUUCUGGAAUUUUCAUGUUUUUGUAAUCACUUUUU
ensembl:lncRNA